GCACCUUCGUUCGUUCCAGGUAGAUAGGCUCCAUCAAUGUUGAUUUUGAGUUCCCCUGGCUCUGGUGGUCGCCAUUGAUGGAGGCAGAAGCUUGCUGCGUUUUUGGUUUUCUUCUUCGGAGGGAGCCACCGAUCAUGAUUUCGUUGCAUCGCAACAGCUUCAUCCACUACCUGCUUUGGAUCUGGUUUUUGCUCUCGAAAAACAAAGUGGUUUCGAGCUUUCCAUAUUUGCCAAAGAACAAACGCUAGAAGCUCAAAGGAGGCCGAGAUUUUCCUUGUCCAUGGACAAAGAAGGAGAGCGUGUUCUACGGUUUCUGGGCUUUGAUUACAGAGACUGCAAAGGGGAUGAGGAAUCGUGACAAAAGGUAGGAUUGUUUCAGUCACUUGGCAUUCCUGCAUCUCAACAUAGCAUUCUUCUAGAGAUGCCAUUCGUUGCUCUGAGUCUUCGGCCUCUUCCAUGGCAGCCAAGCUAAAAGGUUUCAAGCUUUGGAAUCAGACAAUCCAGUCAGUGAGGGAUGAUUGAAGCGGGCGAGUGUAAAAGGGUUUGGGUUUUUAUGGUAU